rnacentral:rRNA from 1 species
AAUAGAUACCCCAGUAGUCCACGCUGUAAACGUUGGACACUAGGUGUGGCGGUCUGAUCAACGACUGCCGUGCCGAAGCUAACGCAUUAAGUGUCCCGCCUGGGGAGUACGGCCGCAAGGCUAAAACUCAAAGGAAUUGACGGGUCCCCGCACAAGCGGCGGAGCAUGCGGCUUAAUUCGAUGCAACCCGAAGAACCUUACCUGGGUUUGACAUCAUGGGAAAAGCCGUGGAAACACGGUGUCCGUAAGGGCCCAUGACAGGUGGUGCAUGGCUGUCGUCAGCUCGUGUCGUGAGAUGUUGGGUUAAGUCCCGCAACGAGCGCAACCCUUGUCCUAUGUUGCCAGCGGUUCGGCCGGGGACUCAUAGGAGACUGCCGGGGAUAACUCGGAGGAAGGUGAGGACGAUGUCAAGUCAUCAUGCCCCUUAUAUCCAGGGCUGCACGCAUGCUACAAUGGUCGGUACAACGGGCAGCGAUCCUGCGAAGGUGAGCGAAUCCCACAAAGCCGGCCUCAGUUCGGAUUGG